rnacentral:rRNA from 1 species
AUUGAACGCUGGCGGCAGGCCUAACACAUGCAAGUCGAACGAGUGGCGGACGGGUGAGAAAUGUCUGGGAACCUGCCUGAUGGAGGGGGAUAACUACUGGAAACGGUAGCUAAUCCCGCAUACCAUCGGAUGUGCCCAGAUGGGAUUAGCUAGUAGGUGGGGUAAAGGCUUACCUAGGCCACGAUCCAUAGCGGGUCUGAGAGGGUGACCGGCCACACUGGAACUGAGACACGGUCCAGACUCCUACGGGAGGCAGCAGUGGGGAAUCUUCCACAAUGGGCGAAAGCCUGAGAGAGCAAUGCCGCGUGAAUGAAGAAGGCCUUCGGAUUGUAAAGUUCUUUUAGUGGGGAAGCGUUACCUACUCAGAAAGCCCCGGCUAACUCCGGGCCAGCAGCCGCGGUAAUAC